GAUGAACGCUGGCGGCGUGCCUAAUACAUGCAAGUCGAGCGAACAGACGAGGAGCUUGCUCCUCUGACGUUAGCGGCGGACGGGUGAGUAACACGUGGAUAACCUACCUAUAAGACUGGGAUAACUUCGGGAAACCGGAGCUAAUACCGGAUAAUAUAUUGAACCGCAUGGUUCAAUAGUGAAAGACGGUUUUGCUGUCACUUAUAGAUGGAUCCGCUCCGCAUUAGCUAGUUGGUAAGGUAACGGCUUACCAAGGCAACGAUGCGUAGCCGACCUGAGAGGGUGAUCGGCCACACUGGAACUGAGACACGGUCCAGACUCCUACGGGAGGCAGCAGUAGGGAAUAUUCCGCAAUGGGCGAAAGCUUGACGGAGCAACGCCGCGUGAGUGAUGAAGGUCUUCGGAUCGUAAAACUCUGUUAUUAGGGAAGAACAAAUGUGUAAGUAACUAUGCACGUCUUGACGGUACCUAAUCAGAAAGCCACGGCUAACUACGCG
rnacentral:rRNA from 1 species